rnacentral:rRNA from 1 species
UACAGAGGGGGCAAGCGUUGUUCGGAAUUACUGGGCGUAAAGGGCGCGUAGGCGGCCUGUUAAGUCGGACGUGAAAUCCCCGGGCUCAACCCGGGAACUGCGUCCGAUACUGGCAGGCUUGAAUCCGGGAGAGGGAUGUGGAAUUCCAGGUGUAGCGGUGAAAUGCGCAGAUAUCGGGAAGAACACCCGUGGCGAAGGCGGCACUCUGGGACGGUACUGACGCUGAGACGCGAAAGCGUGGGGAGCGAACGAGG